rnacentral:rRNA from 1 species
UGCAGUCGAGCGGAUGACAGGAGCUUGCUCCUGGAUUCAGCGGCGGACGGGUGAGUAAUGCCUAGGAAUCUGCCUGGUAGUGGGGGACAACGUUUCGAAAGGAACGCUAAUACCGCAUACGUCCUACGGGAGAAAGCAGGGGACCUUCGGGCCUUGCGCUAUCAGAUGAGCCUAGGUCGGAUUAGCUAGUUGGUGAGGUAAUGGCUCACCAAGGCGACGAUCCGUAACUGGUCUGAGAGGAUGAUCAGUCACACUGGAACUGAGACACGGUCCAGACUCCUACGGGAGGCAGCAGUGGGGAAUAUUGGACAAUGGGCGAAAGCCUGAUCCAGCCAUGCCGCGUGUGUGAAGAAGGUCUUCGGAUUGUAAAGCACUUUAAGUUGGGAGGAAGGGCAGUAAAUUAAUACUUUGCUGUUUUGACGUUACCGACAGAAUAAGCACCGGCUAACUCUGUGCCAGCAGCCGCGGUAAUACAGAGGGUGCAAGCGUUAAUCGGAAUUACUGGGCGUAAAGCGCGCGUAGGUGGUUCGUUAAGUUGGAUGUGAAAUCCCCGGGCUCAACCUGGGAACUGCAUUCAAAAACUGUCGAGCUAGAGUAUGGUAGAGGGUGGUGGAAUUUCCUGUGUAGCGGUGAAAUUGCGUAGAUAUAAGGAAGGAACACCCAGUGGCCGAAGGCGACCACCCUGGGACUGGAUACUUGACACUUGAAGGUGCGAAAAGCGUGGGGAGCAAAACAGGAUUAAGAUACCCUGGUAAGUCCCACCGCGUAAAACCGAUGUCAACUUAAGCCCGUUUGGGGAAGCC